GAUGAACGCUGGCGGCGUGCCUAAUACAUGCAAGUCGAACGCACAGCGAAAGGUGCUUGCACCUUUCAAGUGAGUGGCGAACGGGUGAGUAACACGUGGAUAACCUACCUCAAGGUUGGGGAUAACAUUUGGAAACAGAUGCUAAUACCGAAUAAAACUUCGUAUCGCAUGAUACAAGGUUAAAAAGGCGCUACGGCGUCACCUAGAGAUGGAUCCGCGGUGCAUUAGUUAGUUGGUGGGUAAGGCCUACCAAGACAAUGAUGCAUAGCCGAGUUGAGAGACUGAUCGGCCACAUUGGGACUGAGACA
rnacentral:rRNA from 1 species